CCAUUUUUCACAGAGUACAACUUUCGUGCUUGCAUUAGCCGUAUUAGCCCGCCGUAUUGUUAUUGCUUUGGAAAUUGAAGUGCUAAAGAUAUUUUUGGCAAAUGUAAUAUUCUUAGGUUGUUUUUUUUUUUUUUUAUCAUAAAAGAUAUACCUUGUUCUGCGUCCAUAUGUAAUAAAUGGUGGACACAGAUAUAUGUCUCGUUUUUUUUUCUCCUUCUUCAGUUUUUAUAGUUAUUGCAAAUU
rnacentral:lncRNA from 1 species